UACGAAGGGGGCUAGCGUUGUUCGGAAUUACUGGGCGUAAAGCGUGCGCAGGCGGCUUCUCAAGUCAGGGGUGAAAGCCCAGAGCUCAACUCUGGAAUUGCCUUUGAGACUGAGUGGCUUGAGUACGAGAGAGGUGAGUGGAAUUCCCAGUGUAGAGGUGAAAUUCGUAGAUAUUGGGAAGAACACCGGUGGCGAAGGCGGCUCACUGGCUCGUAACUGACGCUGAUGCGCGACAGCGUGGGGAUCAAACAGG
rnacentral:rRNA from 1 species